UACGUAGGUGGCAAGCGUUGUCCGGAAUUAUUGGGCGUAAAGCGCGCGCAGGUGGUUUCUUAAGUCUGAUGUGAAAGCCCACGGCUCAACCGUGGAGGGUCAUUGGAAACUGGGGAACUUGAGUGCAGGAGAGAAGAGUGGAAUUGCCACGUGUAGCGGUGAAAUGCGUAGAGAUGUGGAGGAACACCAGUGGCGAAGGCGACGUGCUUUGG
rnacentral:rRNA from 1 species